rnacentral:tRNA from 1 species
GCUCAGUUGGUUGAGUGUCCGACUCUUGAUUUCAGCUCAGGUCAUGAUCCCACAGUCGUGGAAUCGAGUCCCACAUUGGGCU